CAAAUUUGGGGCACCCAAUGAUGCUGAGAUGUUGUAGAGCAGUGUGUGGUGGCUGUGACAAUAAAACUGAUUCCACAUUCUCACACCAAUGUAUUUCAAGAUUCUUGAGAUUGGGAAAGGCAUCUAAUGACAACGAGUUUCCCGGAGCUGCAGAUUGCGAGCUUUUGCAAAGAUUCAGGUAAACAAUUGCCUGGCAAGAAUACAGCAGAUAAACACCCUGAGAUUUGUAUUUCUUGGAGACAAGUUAGAUGGUUGAUGCUAAUUGCCUCAAAUGCAGACUUCACAAUGGAUUCACAUCCUCCAAUUGAUAAAUUAUCCCCAGUAAGUGACAUCUCUUGAGAGCAUCCUUCUGAUAUAUCUAGUUUGCGAACUUUAGAAACAUCAGACAAAGAAGAAAGGAUUUUCAAGAAUACUUGAUUAAACAUAUCUCCCUUUAACAUUGGACAAUCUCUUAUUAGAAGCCUCUUAAGCUGAGGAAAAGUUUCUGAGUCAGGGACUUAAGAGAUGGCAACUGUCCAAGUGAAGGCAACAUGCAGCAAUUGUUGCAAGACUUUAGAGAUACACUGGUCAUGUUUUGGUAGGAACAAUGGCCAACCCAAUUUGGAAAUAUUGUACCUUUGUAUCCCUCGAUUGUCAACUCUUUCAAGCCAUUGUGCGGUCGCAAGCUGUGGAGUAUGUCUCUUUCAAUCUGUGUGUCUGAAACCAUGUCAUCACUUGAAAACCAUUCCAAUGAUAAGCAGUCAAUGUGCAUCUUAUCCAUUACUUUUGCACUCUUUGCUUCCUUCACAUCAACGAUGUUCUCCAACUUCUUAAUCCCAAAUGAGCCAUGAAGGUUUGAAAGCUCUCCUAACUCUUGGAUUCCAUUGUCUUUAUGCUUGCUCACAGUAAAGUAGCUUAAAAUGUCUUCAAUGUUUGUAGAUUGCACAAGUCACAUAAUGAUUCUGGGAGUGUCCUAAUAUUUGUCCAAGAAAGGUCCAAGUAACGCAAAUAGAUCAAUCCACCUAUUGAAUCAGGCAAUACAUCAAGCAUUUUG